UAAUUCGGUUAUUUAUUUAAGCGGUUAAUUAAGCAUCGAGUGUAGAUAUGCUAGUCCUUUCAUGAUUAUGUGAUAGGUGGUGCAUGGCCGUUCUUAGUUCGUGGAGUGAUCUGUCUGCUUAAUUGCGUUUCACUAAGGGCCCAUAAAUUCAAGGUAUGUUAGCUAUCGUCGCUCUAUGGACCCCUUAUUCACUGCUUUAAUUAGUUUGUUUAAGCGCGCGUCUUUAUUUAAUGAGUUUAAGACACUGCGCAUGCUGUUGGGCUCUGAAAGCAACGAACGUGACCGCAACGUCUUGUUGCCUUAAUAAAGUUGGCUUAAAUACGAAAUUCGUAUUUAAACCGCUUACAGAGGCUAUUUAAAACUAGACGGACCGCUGUUUCUUUUCUUAAACCAG
rnacentral:rRNA from 1 species